rnacentral:tRNA from 1 species
GGGGUUAUAGCUCAGUUGGUAGAGCGCUUGAAUGGCAUUCAAGAGGUGAGGGGUUCGAUUCCCCUUAACUCCA